rnacentral:rRNA from 1 species
CCCCUAGAUGUUCUGGGCCGCACGCGCGCUACACUGAACAGUUCAACAAGUCUUAACCUUGGCCGAUAGGUCUGGGUAAUCUUUGAACGCUGUUCGUGAUUGGGAUAGACCUUUGCAAUUAUGGGUCUUCAACGAGGAAUUCCUAGUAAACGCAAGUCAUCAGCUUGCAUUGAUUACGUCCUUGCCCUUUGUACACACCGCCCGUCGCACCUACCGAUUGAAUGGUCCGGUGAAAUCUCGGGACGGCGGCUCGGUCGCUUGCGUCCGACUGCUGAAACUUGAUUAAACCAUAUCAUUUAGAGGAAGGUGAAGUCGUAACA